GUUCAUAACAGUUUCAUUAUACACAAAAUAUUCAGUUAACUUAAUAUGUUGUGAGUUUGGUUUUAUUAUAUUAUUUAAUAUAUCCAUGUUAUUUUCAUAUUUCCUUUAUUAUCUUUCAAUCAUUUAUUAUAAUAGUCCCUUUUAGUUUCUCUUAAAAUUGUCGUCAAUUUAUUUUUGUAUGCUUUGUAUUUGGCCUCACAAUUAGCUGUCCUAUUUUUUACAAAGUCUUUAUACAUAUGAUAUUGUUUAAGCAACAACACACACACAAUACUAAUAAUUAUUAGCAUUUUUACGUUUACAUUUGUAUGCAGUUGCAUAUUAACACUGCAUUCAGCCAGGUAUGAAUAUUAGAGAACAACAUGAAUACCAUUGUCUGCAUGUAUGUGUACUGAUGCUUUGAAAACAUUAGACUAUACCAAUAAAGUAGCCUAAUAACAAUGACGUUGAACUGAAUAAAUGAAUUAAUAAAACAAAAGCAUUUCCUUAAGCACAUUAAAGUUUAGCACAACAUACAUUUUUUAUUUCAAAAUCAAAUAAACAAUACAUAUUCCAUGUCGUACAUUUCAGCAACGCAAUUUCAUUCGAACUGCGCAAUCAGGGCGCAGCUUUAACGCAAAAAAACUGUCGUGACCAAACACGGAAGUAGUUCAAAGAAACUCCCGCGUAGUUUUCAUCGUUCGGAUAAGCCAUGUGCGUUUGAUGGGGAUGCAGUGUGUUUACAACCGAAUGACUGCGAUGUCUAAACUAAAGAGGAAGAAAUCAGCGAUUGAGGAGAGUAAAUGCGAGCAGCAGACGACGAAGAAAAAGUCAAAUGGCAGUCUGAGUUCAGAACAGGACAGCAGCUGCAGCAAAACAUCUACAGUCAGGGCGAGAUGGUGGGAGAGUUCUGAAUUAAGUGACGUGGAGAAACUCUGGGCUCUUACCUUGAGAGCUUUUUGCCCAGCCCUGCAGUCUGAUCAGGAAGAAUGUAUUCCACAGCUCCCCCCACCCUCAUCCACGAAAACUCCUGUACAAAAAGUAAGUGAUUGGAGGGGGUGUAGUGCAGAUGAAGAUGUUAAUCUCCCUCCAGAUUUGCCUGCUCCGUCUUUCCUCAACAACCCACAACCAGUGAAUGAGGUCAAGAACCCCUCACAACCUCCAGCAGCAGAGAACAUGGGAGAAUGUAGUCCACCAACCAACGCUGAUCAAGAGAAUCAUGCAUAUUCACCUGAUCAGGAGAGUGUGUCAGUAUGUGACGUACAAACUGCUCAGCAGCGCCACCUAGAAGACAAAGUCAGUUGCGUUGAGGGUCAUGUUUUGUCAGACGAACAGAGUGACAAAUUUGACCAAGUGGGGAAAGUCUCAGAAAGGCAAGAAGUCACAAGAGGAUCUGAAGCAGGGAAGGGGGUAAAAACAGGUGCAGGAGGAUCUGGAUCACGGCUAAGAACAAUAUCUGAAGCAGUUUCAAGCAUGGGAACAAAACACGGAGCAAGUGGAUCUGGAUCAGGGCAGAGAGCAAAAUCAGGGCUAGGAGGAUUUGAGUCAGGGCUGAGAACAAAUUCAAGAGAAAGUGGAUCUGGAUUGGGGCAGGGAACAAAAUCUGGAUUAAAUUUGGGGAAAAAAUCAGGAACAGAAGAAUCUGGAGCGGCAUCUGGAUCAGGACUUGGAAAAAAAUUAAUAGCAGAAGGAUCCGGAACAGCAACUGGAACAGGACUGGGAACAAAAUCAGGAGCAGAAGGAUCUAGAGCAGCAUCUGGAUCAGAACUGGGAACAACAUCAGGAACAGUAGGAUCUGGAGCAGCAUCUGGAUCAGGACUGGGAACAACAUCAGGAACAAAAGGAUCUGGAGCAGCAUCUGGAUCAGGACUGGAGUGCUGCCCAAUGUGUCUGAUGCCAUUUCCUGCAGGGUUCACCCAAAUGCAAUGUGAUGGUCAUCUUGCACAAUGUCUAUCAGAGAUCAAUGAAGAUAUUAUUUGGUGAUGAUGAGGAAAUUCUGUUAUAUUAUUUUAGAUACUUGUUUUCCUUUAUAAGCUUGCAAAGUAUUACUUUAAUGUUCUGAUUACUGUAAACAGAAGGCCCUGGAAAGGAAUAGAAGGUUUGCUGAAAAUGUACUCGCCCUCAGGCCAUCCAAGAUGUAGAUCAAUUAGUUUCCUUAUCAGAGCAGAUUUGGAGAAAUGUAGCCAUACAUCUAUUGCUCAUCAAUGGCUCCUCUGCAGUGAAUGGGUGCCGUCAGAAUGAGAGUCCAAACUUCUGAUAAAAGCAUCACAACAAUUCACAAGUAAUCCACACAAUUCAAGUCCAUCAAUUAAUGUCUUGUAAAGUGAAAAGCUGCGUGUUUGUAAUUAACAAAUCCAUCAUUACACGGUUUUAACUUCUGGUCCAUAGUUCACAAUAACACUUCCUCCAGUGAAAAAAAGUCCAUCCCCUGUUGUCAUCUUACAUCAAAACCCCACUGACAUACUUAUUAAGAACUAUUUUAGAUGGUUUUCACUCGGGUCAAACUGUGUUUGAUCUGUGCAUAUUUCUCUCCUGAUUCAGAGAUUACCUUUUCUCUGGAAAAAGCAAUAAUAUGGAUAAAGAGCCUGGUUUGAAAUUAAAAACUUAUUAAAUAUGGACUUAUUACAAACACACAACUUGUGUAUUACUCGCAUUACUUGCAGAUUUUUGUGAUGUUUUUAUCAGCUGUUUAAACUCAUUCUGAAAGCACCCAUUCACUGAAGAGAAUAGUGAGCAAGUGAUGUAAUGCUAAACUUCUCAGAAUCUGUUGGGAUGAAGAAACAAACUUGGAUGGCCUUUUCACUUUCGGGUGAACUAUUCCUUUAAAUACUUCUUAUAAGAUAUGAUUGGUAAAUAUGCAUUGUGCAAUAAAGACAGUGCUCUCUCAAAGACCA
ensembl:lncRNA